CAGCAUGUGUGAUGCCUGGGUCCUUCCUUGAGGUGAGGCUUCACUGUGCUUUCAUUUUGGUCCUAAAGGUGUGGAAUUGAUGGAGCGAGAGGUAAGGAGUAUUACCUGUGGUGGAGCUCCAGCAGGCCUUUUGUGAGGUGCUGUGGGUUCCUGGUGCUAUGUUGUCUGCCUUGUUGGUCCACAACUUAGAGCUUUUCUCUUUCCUCAGGUUGUUGUUCAGCUACUCUGAGGAGAACAUCAACAGUGGUUGUGAGCUGAGCUCUUCUGAAAGCUGUAAAGGAGGAGGUGGCAGAGCUGACUAGAGAGGUAUGCCUCAAAAAUUCCAGUAGCAACUUUCCUUGCAAUUUGCAUGGUGGGAAGCAGCUGACAACAUAUCUAUUUCACUGAAGAAUUAUCAGCUUGGUGCAGUUUUUUUGGAAAGACUGUUUCUAUUAAAGGCAUAAAUGCUCUCUUACAUUUAACAAUGAGUAUGCUUAAAAAAAAUAUCUGUACUGAAAUGGAAUUACUAGGCUUAGCUAGCUGAAGUUCUUUAGAGUGGAGUGGAUACCUGUCUGUCUUCAACUUUACUUAAAACAAAGAAAAUCCUCACCACACAGAAGGAUGCGCUGCCUAUUUCUGCACUCUGGCCUUGUUCCCUUGGCUGCUGACAUUAGCUUAAUCAUCUCAGAAAAUGAGAAUGAGGAGAAAAACUACUGCUUCUGUAAUCGGCUGUUUUGUGUUGGAUGUUCUGUAAGAGAUUCAAGCAAGACAAUAAAAAAACAAAUAGUUUGGAGGUAGAUGAUAGUAAUGUAAUUCAACAGACUUGCUUUAUUUAACAACUGAAAGCACUGUGUUUCCAAUGUUUGUAUCAAUAAAGCUGAAUUUCUGAAUA